GACGAACGCUGGCGGCGUGCCUAACACAUGCAAGUCGAACGGAAAGGCCUGCAGCUUGCUGCGGGUACUCGAGUGGCGAACGGGUGAGUAACACGUGGGUGAUCUGCCUUGCACUUCGGGAUAAGCUUGGGAAACUGGGUCUAAUACCGGAUAGGACAGCUGUUUAGUGUCAGUUGUGGAAAGUUUUUUCGGUGCAAGAUGAGCUCGCGGCCUAUCAGCUUGUUGGUGGGGUAAUGGCCUACCAAGGCGUCGACGGGUAGCCGGCCUGAGAGGGUGUACGGCCACAUUGGGACUGAGAUACGGCCCAGACUCCUACGGGAGGCAGCAGUGGGGAAUAUUGCACAAUGGGCGGAAGCCUGAUGCAGCGACGCCGCGUGGGGGAUGAAGGCCUUCGGGUUGUAAACUCCUUUCGACAGGGACGAAGCUUUUGUGACGGUACCUGUAUAAGAAGCACCGGCUAACUACGUG
rnacentral:rRNA from 1 species